CCUCGGGUCGAUUGCACGUCCCCGUGACGGCGACGACGCAUUCAGAUGUCUGCCCUAUCAACUUUCUAUGGUACUUUCUGCGCCUACCAUGGUGACCACGGGUAAUGGGGAAACAGGGUUCGAUUCCAGAGAGGGAGCCUGAGAAACUGCUACCACAUCCAAGGAAGGCAGCAGGCGCGCAAAUUACCCACUCCCGAUGCGGGGAGGUAGUGACGG